rnacentral:rRNA from 1 species
AAGCUCGUAGUUGGAUUUCUGUUAAUAAUUUAUAUAAAAUAUUUUGAAUAUUUAUAUAACAUUAACAUAAUUCAUAUUACUAUAUUUUUUAGUAUACGAAAUUUUACUUUGAGAAAAUUAGAGUGCUUAAAGCAGGCAUAUGCCUUGAAUACUCCAGCAUGGAAUAAUAUUAAAGAUUUUUAUCUUUUUUAUUGGUUCUAAGAUAAGAAUAAUGAUUAAUAGGGACAGUUGGGGGCAUUUGUAUUUAACAGUCAGAGGUGAAAUUCUUAGAUUUGUUAAAGACAAACUAAUGCGAAAGCAUUUGCCAAGGAUGUUUUCAUUAAUCAAGAACGAAAGUUAGGGGAUCGAAGACGAUCAGAUACCGUCGUAGUCUUAACCAUAAACUAUGCCAACUGGAGAUUGGAGGUUGUUCCUUACUCCUUCAGCACCUUA